CAAUAAGCUAGAUAAGGGCGUAUGGGGGAUGCCUAGGCUCUCAGAGGCGAAGAAGGACGUGAUAAGCUGCGAAAAGCCGCGGGGAUCGGCACAUACGAAAUGAUCCGCGGGUAUCCGAAUGGGGCAACCCUGCAUGCUGAAGGCAUGCAAUCCGCAAGGAGGCGAACCCGGGGAACUGAAACAUCUAAGUACCCGGAGGAAGAGAAAACAAAAGUGAUUCCGUAAGUAGUGGCGAGCGAACGCGGAACAGCCCAAACCGGUACUGUUACGGCAGUGCCGGGGUUGUAGGACCACGAGAUUCGAUGCGCGAUGAACCGGAACGUUCUGGAAAGGACGGCCGUAGCGGGUGACAGCCCCGUACGGGCAAAGGACGAUAUCGAUAGUGGGAUCCUGAGUAGCGCGGGGCACGUGGAACCCUGUGUGAAUCUGCCGGGACCAUCCGGCAAGGCUAAAUACUCCUGAGAGACCGAUAGUGAACCAGUACCGUGAGGGAAAGGUGAAAAGAACCCCGAACAGGGGAGUGAAAGAGAACCUGAAACCAUACGCCUACAAGCGGUCGGAGCCCCAUUGGGGUGACGGCGUGCCUUUUGCAUAAUGAGCCUACGAGUUACCGUUGCCAGCGAGGUUAAGCAGUUAAGCUGCGGAGCCGUAGCGAAAGCGAGUCCUAACCGGGCGCUAAGUUACAUGGACUAUGACCCGAAACCUGGUGAUCUACCCAUGGGCAGGUUGAAGCGUAUCUAACCGUACGUGGAGGACCGAAC
rnacentral:rRNA from 1 species